GACGGAGGGUGCAAGCGUUGUUCGGAAUUACUGGGCGUAAAGGGCGCGUAGGCGGUUUGCUAAGUUCGGUGUGAAAGCCCCUGGCUCAACUGGGGAACGGCGCUGGAAACUGGCAGACUAGAGUACCGGAGAGGAGGGUGGAAUUCCUGGUGUAGCGGUGAAAUGCGCAGAUAUCAGGAGGAACACCGGUGGCGAAGGCGGUUCUCUGGGCAUGUCCUGACGCUGAGGAGCGAAAGUGUGGGGAGCGAACAGG
rnacentral:rRNA from 1 species